GACGAACGCUGGCGGCGUGCUUAACACAUGCAAGUCGAACGCGCCUGUCCUCUGGGUUUCUGGGGGGUGGGUGAGUGGCGAACGGGUGAGUAACACGUGAGUAACCUGCCCCCUUCUUCGGGAUAACGGUCUGAAAGGGCUGCUAAUACCGGGUAUUCACUGGUCUCCGCAUGGGGUCUGGUGGAAAGGUUUUUUUCUGGUGGGGGAUGGGCUCGCGGCCUAUCAGCUUGUUGGUGGGGUGAUGGCCCACCAAGGCUUUGACGGGUAGCCGGCAUGAGAGGGUGACCGGUCACAGUGGGACGGAGAUACGGCCCAGACUCCUACGGGAGGCAGCAGUGGGGAAUAUUGCACAAUGGGCGCAAGCCUGAUGCAGCGACGGCGCGUGAGGGAUGGAGGCCUUCGGGUUGUGAACCUCUGGCGCCCGUGGUCAAGCCGCGACGUGGGUCGUGGUGAGGGUAGUGGGUAAAGAAGCGCCGGCUAACUACGUG
rnacentral:rRNA from 1 species